GCUCGAUUGACGUUGGAGGGAGUUUGUUGGCGGAUGGUGGUGAUGGUGGCGUCAAGGGUGGUGGCGGGUCCGGUGGUAGCAUUAAUAUCAAGGCUCACAGAAUGACUGGAACUGGUAAGCUAAGUGCUUCGGGGGGUAAUGGAUUUGCUGGUGGUGGUGGUGGGAGAGUUGCUAUUAAUGUUUUUAGCAGGCAUGAUGAUACAGACUUCUUUGUUCAUGGGGGAAGGAGUUUUGGUUGUACUGGAAACUCGGG
rnacentral:misc_RNA from 1 species